rnacentral:rRNA from 1 species
GCCAGCGGCGAUAGCACGUUUAGAACACUAGAACACCAGUCCAUGAGAACACUAAAGUUAAGUAACGUUUUUGUGUGGUUAGUAUCUGGAUGGGUGACCAUCUGGAUAAUAGCAUUCACCUGUAA